AUGAUGUCAUUAUACCUGUUAGAGGGGCGAGGGAAUACGAUGUCAUUAUACCCGUUACAGUGGCGAGGGAAUAUGAUGUCAUUAUACCUGUUAGAGGGGAAAGGGAAUAUGAUGUCAUUAUACCUGUUAGAGGGGCGAGGGAAUAUGAUGUCAUUAUACCCGUUACAGUGGCGAGGGAAUAUGAUGUCAUUAGGGAAUAUGAUGUCAUUAUACCCGUUACAGUGGCGAGGGAAUAUGAUGUCAUUACACCUGUUAGAGGGGCGAGGGAAUAUGAUGUCAUUAUACCCGUUACAGUGGCGAGGGAAUAUGAUGUCAUUAUACCCGUUACAGUGGCGAGGGAAUAUGAUGUCAUUAUACCCGUUAGAGGGGCGAGGGAAUAUGAUGUCAUUAUACCCGUUACAGUGGCGAGGGAAUAUGAUGUCAUUAUACCCGUUAGAGGGGCGAGGGAAUAUGAUGUCAUUAUACCCGUUACAGUGGCGAGGGAAUAUGAUGUCAUUAUACCCGUUAGAGGGGCGAGGGAAUAUGAUGUCAUUAUACCCGUUACAGUGGCGAGGGAAUAUGAUGUCAUUAUACCCGUUACAGGGGCAAGGGAAUAUGAUGUCAUUAUACACGUUACAGGGGCAAGGGAAUAUGAUGUCAUUAUACCCGUUACAGGGGCAAGGGAAUAUGAUGUCAUUAGGGAAUAUGAUGUCAUUAUAUCCGUUAGAGGGGCAAGGGAAUAUGAUGUCAUUAGGGAAUAUGAUGUCAUUAUACCCGUUAGAGGGGCAAGGGAAUAUGAUGUCAUUAUACACGUUACAGGGGCAAGGGAAUAUGAUGUCAUUAGGGAAUAUGAUGUCAUUAGGGAAUAUGAUGUCAUUAGGGAAUAUGAUGUCAUUAUACCCGUUACAGUGGCGAGGGAAUAUGAUGUCAUUAUACCCGUUACAGUGGCGAGGGAAUAUGAUGUCAUUAGGGAAUAUGAUGUCAUUAUACCCGUUAGAGGGGCGAGGGAAUAUGAUGUCAUUAUACCCGUUAGAGGGGCGAGGGAAUAUGAUGUCUUUAUACCCGUUACAGUGGCGAGGGAAUAUGAUGUCAUUAUACCCGUUAGAGGGGCGAGGGAAUAUGAUGUCAUUAUACCCGUUACAGUGGCGAGGGAAUAUGAUGUCAUUAUACCCGUUACAGGGGCAAGGGAAUAUGAUGUCAUUAUACACGUUACAGGGGCAAGGGAAUACGAUGUCAUUAUACCAGUUACAGGGGCAAGGGAAUAUGAUGUCAUUAGGGAAUAUGAUGUCAUUAUAUCCGUUAGAGGGGCAAGGGAAUAUGAUGUCAUUAGGGAAUAUGAUGUCAUUAUACCCGUUAGAGGGGCAAGGGAAUAUGAUGUCAUUAUACCCGUUAGAGGGGCGAGGGAAUAUGAUGUCAUUAUACCCGUUACAGUGGCGAGGGAAUAUGAUGUCAUUAUACUUGUUACAGGGGCAAGGGAAUAUGAUGUCAUUAUAUCCCCGUUACAGGGGCGGGGGAAUAUGA
rnacentral:lncRNA from 1 species